UACGUAGGGAGCAAGCGUUGUUCGGAUUUACUGGGCGUAAAGGGCGCGUAGGCGGCAGAUCAAGUCAGUUGUGAAAUCUCUGAGCUUAACUCAGAACUGUCAACUGAUACUGCUCUGCUAGAGUGCGGAAGGGGCAAUCGGAAUUCUUGGUGUAGCGGUGAAAUGCGUAGAUAUCAAGAGGAACACCUGAGGUGAAGACGGGUUGCUGGGCCGACACUGACGCUGAGCGCGCGAAAGCCAGGGGAGCAAACGGG
rnacentral:rRNA from 1 species